rnacentral:misc_RNA from 1 species
UCCGGUUUGUCACCGGCAGUCCCAUUAGAGUGCCCAACUGAAUGUGGCAACUAAUGGCAAGGGUUGCGCUCGUUGCGGGACUUAACCCAACAUCUCACGACACGAGCUGACGACAACCAUGCACCACCUGAACAUAGGCUCCCUUGCGGGCACCCCCCUGUUUCCAGGAGGUUCCUAUGGCUUCCAACCCAGGUAAGGUUCUGCGCGUUGCGUCGAAUUAAACCACAUGCUCCACCGCUUGUGCGGGCCCCCGUCAAUUCCUUUGAGUUUCAGCCUUGCGGCCGUACUCCCCAGGCGGGGCACUUAAUGCGUUAGCGCCGGCACUCACGGGGUCGCUCCCGCAAGCACCUAGUGCCCAUCGUUUACGGCGUGGACUAC